rnacentral:rRNA from 1 species
AAGGGCACCACAAGAACGCGUGGAGCAUGUGGCUUAAUUUGACUCAACGCGGGAAAUCUUACCGGGUCCGGACACACUGAGGAUUGACAGGCUUUUGUGGUUUCGGUGACUUUGUUCACUGUUUCCACUAUAAAUAUGCUAGUCCUUUCAUGAUUGUGUGAUAGGUGGUGCAUGGCCGUUCUUAGUUCGUGGAGUGAUCUGUCUGCUUAAUUGCGUUUCACAAAGGACUUUCAACUUCUGCCUGUUGCGCCGCUUGCCUCCGGGCUUGUGUGUGCACGGUAGAUGAAAAGUCCUGAAGGCAACGAACGUGACCGCAACCUCUUGUUGCCUCUUUUGGUUUUAUUGCCAACAUGAACUCAUGGCUUAAGUUGCGCUUUUUGGUGCUUCUUUUCUAUGUGUUCUGCACAGAGGCUAACUAGAGGGACCGCUGACAACUUUUAAAACAGAGGAAGGUUGCGGCAAUAACAGGUCUGUGAUGCCCUUAGAUGUUCCGNGCUGCACACGUGCUACAAUGAUUAUUGCAGUGAGCAUCUAUUUUAUAAGGCUUCACUUGUUGGUUAAUUGGCUUUCGGGUCAGUUAACCACAGUGGCCACUCACCUGCUUCGAAAGUAAGCAGGUAAUCAAUUCGAAGUAAUGAUUUCCUUUCGCACAUACUUAUAUCUCUUGUUUUUGCUCUUCACUGUCCUUCCUUGUGUUGGCGGUGUUUGAGCCUUGAGAUAUGUGCUCCAUUAAUUCAUGGUGGGGACAGACCAUUGUUAAUUGUUGGUCUCGGUCUCAACUAGGAAUGCCUUGUACGGGUCUUUGGUUCAACAAACCACCCGGAAUAUGUCCCUGCCCUUUGUACACACCGCCCGUCGCUCUUACCGAUGGACUUCUCUGUGAGUUUGGAGGACUGGCUAUUCAUUUUAUUAUGAACAGCUAUGGAAAUCUAAACGAACAGUGUGGUCUAAAGGAAAGAGAAGUCG